AUAACUGCAGGAGAAUCCUGGAUCAAGAAGGUGGUUUCCACCAGGGUGAGAAUCUUCCAUUGCACUUCAGUUGGGCUGGCUCCUGUGAUCUCCCCAAAUGUAUGAAACUCAACUGCAUCAUUUCUGGUAGUUGGGAACUGUGUUCUCAGUGUCUGG